GACGAACUCUGGCGGCAGGCUUAACACAUGCAAGUCGAACGCCCCGCAAGGGGAGUGGCAGACGGGUGAGUAACGCGUGGGAAUCUACCGUACCCUACGGAAUAACGCAUGGAAACGUUUGCUAAUACCGUAUACGCCCUACGGGGGAAAGAUUUAUCGGGGUAUGAUGAGCCCGCGUUGGAUUAGCUCGUUAGUGGGGUAAAGGCCUACCAAGGCGACGAUCAAUAGCUGGUCUGAGAGGAUGAUCAGCCACAUUGGGACUGAGACACGGCCCAAACUCCUACGGGAGGCAGCAGUGGGUAAUAUUGGACAAUGGGCGCAAGCCUGAUCCAGCCAUGCCGCGUGAGUGAUGAAGGCCCUAGGGUUGUAAAGCUCUUUCACCGGAGAAGAUAAUGACGGUAUCCGGAGAAGAAGCCCCGGCUAACUUCGUGCCAGCAGCGCAGUAA
rnacentral:rRNA from 1 species